ACCGCUAUCAUCACGACCACAGAUCGGAUCAAAAUUUCCUAGAUCUCCCAUCAUCCACCGCCACCUACACCACCUAGAUUGAAACCACCAAAAAUUACCACUUCACCACCAAUGUGACAGCACCACAAAAUAGAUCCAAAAUCAGAGCCGCAAUGGAAGUGACAACCCUGCCACGAUCACCAUCGGAGCCAACACACAACCACCACCAACAAAUCGAAUCCAAAACUGCUAGCCUCCCACAACUGCCAUCAUCACACCACCUUACUAUCACCAUCGUCUCCACCCUAUCGUUGCCACUGCCACAACCCCGUCACUACCACUCCAACAAACAAAACCAAAACCAUCCUUACCUUGUCCAAUUACUUGAAAGCUAUUGAGCCUGCCCUUGAUGCUAUACAAAAAUUAAUUGCCCAUGGCUAACUUCAUGGCGAAGCUGACCCAGUGAUGGCGCGAUGCAAAAUUAUUGUCCAGAUUGAUUGAAUCUGUUUGCAAAUGUCACUAUCUAGGUGAUGAAUUUGUGGUAAAUCAGGGUAUGCCAUCUCGCCAAAGGUGGCGUGUUGGUGGUCUCCGACAAAUGUUUAUGGUUUGCCACUCGCAGUGGCUAUUCAGUGGCACCGAAGAGACGAGGAGAAGGGAGGGACAGGGAGGAGAUUUACAGGUUUGGGUAGUGGAUAGGGUUUUGAUAUUUUCCUAAUUUCAUUAGUUUAUUUAAAUAAUUAAUAUUAAAAAAAUUUUGAUUUUUGAAUUGUGAAACUUCCCACCUGAUUUUAGAAUGUUGAAUUUUUAAGGUAGGAUGCGGUGUAAUUUCCACUUUAUAUAUUUUUGAGCUUUUAUUGUCGUAUAAAGAGUUUAGAAAUGAUAGCAUCAUGAUAUGUACUAUACUAUAUCAAGGAAAAUAGUAGUUUAUGUUUCGCUCAUGUUUAUAAACACAUAAAUAUUUUUUUUUCUCAACGUAUUUUGAGAAAUUCACAAAUACUACUUACUUAUUCACUACUCAUUUCAAUCUAUUUGUAAUUUAAAUUGUUAUAAAUAAUUUCUAAACCUGCUUUAAGACUUAAUUUUAUAUAAUAACUUAUAAGUUUUAUCUAUGUUAAUUAAUUAUAAAUUUGAGACGUGAACAAGAAAUAAUUAAUGCAGAAGGUGGUGGUUGCGCGCGGUCCCAACAACUAGUAUAGUCGAGUCCAAAGAAAAUAUUUAUGAGGCCAGUUGCAAGCCAUCGAUGGCAGAUGCGUAUUCAGGAUUUUUAUUAGCGAAGGUUGAAAUAUAAAAAAAAAAUUAAUAUCGUAAAAUUUAUACAUAAAUAAACCGACAAGACAACGAUACUUUGAUAAUUUCAUUUGAAUAUAAACUAUUAUCGAUGUGUAAUUAGUAAGGUGAUGACAAGCAAAGUACUUACUAACUAAAUUAAAAUUGAGGAUCACAAAUUUAAAUAUUAACAAAAAAAAUAUAUAAACAAAGGCUUUAAAAUGUUAAUUGUAGAAUAAAAAUGCAAUUGAUUAAACAAGUAGCAACAAUGUAAAUAUAAAAUCAAUCCAUAGAUAAUAUCAUAAAAUUUAAUAAAAAAUUCUUAAAUUUUUAUAAAUUGAUGAUUUUAUUUUUUACAAUUAUUAUGGGAAAUUAAAUCAACUAAAUUAAAAAUUUUGAAAAGGCGACCAUUUUUUAGCCAAUCACAUCCCUUAAAAUAAAAACAAGAACUCUACAUUUUUCUUUACAGACCAUCAAUCAAUAGUCACCAUCAUCUUUUGCAGGUCCAUGUGUAUAUCAAUAUCACUCACUCCUAAUAAAUAUAGAAACGAAUCAAACGAUUGUCAAAAUAUCAUUCAAGAUGUUUUAUCACCUUUUAGUAUUAUUUUCCUAUUAAAUUGAUUGCAUAACAACACAAUUAGAUGAUUUUCUUUUUAAUUCUUCAGCCCAAUAAUUAGAAUUUAAACACAAUAUUAACCAUUCACCACUCUACAAUCAAACACUAGAAAGACAAAAAAUCCUUAACAAAAACAAAACAGAGGAAAAAAUGGUCUAGAAAUGGAAAUGGGCUGGGGAUUGGAUCGGGCUAUCCUCUAUCUGCUCUUGCUCGAUGGUUGAGUUAGUAUUUAACUAUUAUCACAAGUUCGAUAAAACAAUGAUUUCUGAAGCAAAAAAAAUUGUGAUCUCGUUAAAUUUGAGCGAGACGAUCAUGAGGACGGACAUAAGGGUGGGAGACUUCCUUGAUUGGUGCUAUUUGCUCGUCACGUUUUGCGACAACUUGAUAUCGACGUAAUAGUGAAAUUGUGUAUUAGAGAUGCUAUAUAUUGUCACAUUUAUGACUUUUUGAAAUCAAUUAAGUCCUAUCGAGUUGUGUUUAUGGUGACAUCACAAGAUUGCUAACUUGCUUAGCUUAGCUUCCUGACUAAAAAAUUUAGAAUAGUGAAGACGCAAUUAUUUAGAAAACUAGAUUACCCUUUUAUUGAAGAUAGAGAUGGAUAACAACGUGAAUAAAAAUUUAAUUUGUCUUUUUUUUUUUAUCUAAUUAUAUCCAAUACAAAUUGAGUUGAUAAAACUAUAAUUUAUUUAUUUAUUUUCACUAGACUAGACCACUUAACUUAGAAUUUCAAAAGAGUCUUGAUGCAAUUUCUUGGAGAGUUAGAACCACUUUUAUUAAAAAAGAAAAAAAGAAAAAAAAAUUCAAUGACUUAAACAGAGCAAAGUCGAUCGUUUAAAAAAUUAGGUAAAAAAAUAACUAAAUAAUUUAUAAUUAUGUACCUAACAAAAUGCAAUAUUUUUCUUUCUCAACCAAAAAAGAAAAAAGAAAUAUAUGUAGGUCAAGAGAUUAGAUAUUGAAUGGUUAUGUCAACAUUUGGUUCUUGUCUAUGAUUUGGUGUCUAACUCAGACAAGUUGGUAAGAUUCAAAAUUAAGAGACAAGAAAAAUGGGCACAAUAAUGCAUAAUGAAAUUCCACAUGCCCGUCAAUAAAUAUGUGACAACUGACAAUUACUUGUUCUAUGCAAAAUUGAAAAUUGCAUGGGUUGAUUUGAUUUUGCAACUUAAAUAAUAACUUAUCAUUAAACCAAUAUUGUAUAUUUCAUGAUAUUUUCCUCUUUUUUUGGUUCAAAAUUAAAUAAGUUGAUGACAAAUUAUUAGCAUGUUUGGAAAAUCUUAAAUUGUAAUUUAAAUUGAUCAAACUUACUUUCAUCUACAAAUUUUGUAGGAUUCAUAUCUAACUAUUCACUUAUUAUUCAUAAACUUUAUAGAAUUCAUAACUUAUAAGCUUUAACAAACAUGAGACGUGUUUUUAUGAGGAUUACAUAUGAAGAUUUAAGGAAGAUUUGGAAAAAAAAAAAUCUUUAUGGGAUAUUGAUUGUGCACCUGUCAACUUGCUUUUUAAGAUCUAGGACUAGAAAAUUUUACUUGAAUAAUAGAUCGAGGACCAACGCCAUAAUAUUCACAAUGACGCCCCAUCAAGGAAACGGAAACUAGUAGCUUAUGAUACAUCUCUCUCUAUACAUAUACAUACAUGUAUACAUACAAACACAUUAGCAUGGAGUAAAAUGAAUUUUUGAAUAAUAAAUUUUUAGAGAAUGGAUUAUUAAGAAGUUUAAAAAAAAUUUAAGCACUCGUUUGAUCCUAUUUUCAUCCUACUAAUGCAUUUUUCAUCUCAAAUCGUGGUGGGCCCAGCUGCAUGGCCAUCAUUUCACAUGUAUAUAAAUUACCACACCUUUCCCGUUUUGUCCUCAUUGAAUUGGACCAAAAGUAGGAAAGAUUUCAGCAGCCUUUCAAAAUCAAAGGACAAAUGUGCUAAAAAUGGGGUAGAAACUGCGGUAAAUGGGAUUGCACUGGAGGACCCAUGGUGUCAGACAGACCAACGGACGACGCUUCACUUACAGGGGCAUUUCACAGGGCUCGGCCAGGGCGCACUCAAGGGCGGGGCUUGCACAAUUUUUUUUUUCUUUUUUAAUGCAGGUCAGUUCCACCUGACCUACCAGCUACAGUGAGGGGGCCUGUAAGUCCCCUAUUGAACAGUUCAACUAUAGAUUUCCUCAUUUUAGUCGGGCAAAAGUGUGGGACAAACACGCUCUAAAUUUACAUGAAAAAUAUUUUAUUAUGACAAUAUGAUUUUGAAAGAAUGAUUCUAAACAGGGGCUCAAAGAUCUUUCUUGAGCUGAAAUUCAUAUGCAGUGGUUGAGGAAAACCAUAUAAUAGUUGAGUACGCUGCACGCUGGCAAUGGUCAGUGUCAAACAACCUUUUACUUUAAUACUUAUUUUCUACAAAUACAAACAAAGAAUUCCUCUAUUUUCUGGUCAUUUUCUUUCCCAUUACUCCUCAAAAACUGAUAUCACAAGAGAAAUUUCAGGUAUCUCACCUCCCAUUUUUGUUCUUUUGCUUAAAGUCUCGUGUAUUUGUUUCUUGGUAGAAGUUUCAAGAUUUUUUAUUGGAGCAAUUUUAGUAAAACUGCAAGUUGUUGAAUGGGCACUGAAUAAGCUUCAGAAGUUGGAUUUUAGUGUAUAAUUAAAUAGAAAAUGAAGUGAUUUCGAAGGUUUUACUGCUCGUGCGAGAGCUAAUGUAAGUAUGAUGAUUUAGAAUUUCUUGGAAAAAGUUCUAAGAUUUUUGACUGACUGAAUAUUUUGUGCAGAUACAAGUUGUUGCAUUGUAUUGAACAAGCUUUAAAACUUGGUUUGAAGUGUAUAAUUUAAGAGAAGAUUUCUUGAUUUUGAAGGUUUUCUUGCUUAUGAGAGAGCAGAUGUGUGUGUGAUGAUUAAGAAAAUUCUGCAAGAUUUCUUGAUUUUGAAGGUUUUCUUGCUUAUGAGAGAGCAAAUGUGUGUGUGAUGAUUAAGAAAAUUCUGCAAGAUUUCUUGAUUUUGAAGGUUUUCUUGCUUAUGAGAGAGCAAAUGUGUGUGUGAUGAUUAAGAAAAUUCUGCAAGAUUUCUUGCCUUGUACAUGUUCGAGAAAGUGUCAGAAACUUAUUUAUUCUGUUUUUCUUUUCCCAGUUUUCGGUUUUAUGGGUUGAUGCACGAGUCAAUUUUGAUGCUAAAAUAAGUUGUGGAGUAGAAUGGCCAUGGCAAAGAGAUCAGCAAGAAUUCCUGAGGAGAGGGCGAAGAAGAGUGAGUUGAACUGUAAAUGGGGAUUAUUCAGUAUCUUUGAGUCCCACCAUGGUUGUGCUAGUCGAAAACAGCUUUUGAAUGGGAGGCCUGUGGACAAACAUAUCAUGAAUGGUAAAACUCCCUCAAUUCAUAGUAUGUAGAAUAAAGAAAUAUACUUUUAUUUGAGUGAUUGAAAUGCUGAGUUGNCUCAAAAGAUUCAAUGACCAACUUCUAGCAAUAGAAAUAUUGCAAGUCCCGAAACAACGAGCCUACUAACGUUUUGAGGUCUCUUUUAGUAAAUCAACAUUUUAUAAGCUAUUAUGAUAAAUGCAAAAUGUGCAAGACUGAAUGUACGAGACAAAGAAUGAAGUAACCAAUUAUGUACUCAUAUGGGUCUAUAUAAAUAAAGAUGUUGAAAUGUUGUGUUAAGAUUAAUUAACACUUGGAGCAAAAAUAAUUGAGCAACUUGAAUUUGUUCUGUAUAAUCACAGUAUUUACAAUGUUACAUAUGAACAAAUAACAAUCACAUUCAACAAUACUCAAUAUGUGAACAAAUUCUUCCUUAAAUAAAUGUAAAACAUGGAAAUGAAAAAUACAACAGAAAAACGGUGCUCCUUCCCUAACCGGAUCAAAAUUUGUAGAGAAUCAACAUUCCAUUCGUCUCCGUAGAUAAGCCCUCUUUCCAACUUAUGACAACUAGUUCUAGUAAGACAAUGGGAUGAGAGGGAUAAGUCAGUGGAAAGAAAGAUAAUGAGUUGAAGGGUUAAAAUGCGGAAAAAAGAAAAUCGCACUGAACAACUUAUCCUCAUAGAAUGUCGUCUGCUUCAUAGGUCCGGCGAUUGCUUCAUGGGGAGAGGUUUUCCGACCGGUAUUAAAUAUGAGAUUUGUCUAUAAUUCCAAAGUGAAAAAUGUUCAUUUGGCACAAUUUCCUCAAUAAAUUAUAGCAACGUACAUCAUUACAUUCUUUAAUCAUCCCUUUACUGAAAUUUAUACAUGGAAAAAAUUCAUAAGAGUUUAAAUAUUGCAUAUUUAAAAAUCAAGAAAACAAGUUUCAAAUUUCAAAAAUUAAAUUUUUAUUAAAUUUUACUUAUGAUUUAAUUAAUUUAUUUAUUAAUUAAAUAUAUUUAGAUCACAGAUCUAUACAAUUUGAUUACAAAUCAACGAUUUAAUUCGUCACAAAUUAGAAUUUUUAUAUCACAAAUUAUUUUAUGAUUAUAAUUCAAAAAUUUUAUAGAUUACAGUUUGUUCAUCGGUCACAAUUCAAAAAAUUUAUAAGUCAUGAUUUAUUUAUUGGUAAAAAAUCACAAAUAUUACAAGUCACAACUUAUUAUAUAGUUACAAAUUAUCGAUCGUAGAUUAAAUAUUUUUUAGAUCACACAUUAUUUCUCAGUCAAAAUUUAUAUUUUUUAUUGGUAACAUAUUAUUUAUUGGUCACAGAUUAACCAAUUUAAUAAUUAUAGUCAACCAAAUAAUUUGUGAGCACUACUAAUACUUGUGACCACCAUUUCACCACUACUUCCGCCAUUGUGGUCGAUAGAACCACCACCACCUCAAACAUAUCAACUUACUGCGAAAAAUACCAUCACAUUGUCGACGUCAAAUCCACCACCAAAAAAAAAAAAAAAUUAUUACAGUAACCGCUAUCAUCACGACCACAGAUCGGAUCCAAAUUUCCUAGAUCUCCCGUCAUCCACCGCCACCUACACCACCUAGAUUGAAACCACCAAAAAUUACCACUUCACCACCAAUGUGACAGCACCACAAAAUAGAUCCAAAAUUAGAGCAGCAAUGGAAGUGACAAUCGUGCCACGAUCACCAUCGGAGCCAACACACAACCACCAGGGCCGGUCCUGUGAUUGUUGGGGCCCAAGGCAAAGCCUAAAAAUUGGGCCCCCCUCCCAAAAUUAUCGUAAAUGAAAUGGAUAUAUAUAUAUAUAUAGUUGGGUAAUUGGACUAAGGCUAAGGGCAUUGGAUUGGAUUUGGGCUUGAAGUUGUGGGCUACAUUUCUGCAUCACUGGGUCUGGUUCAAGUUCAACUAAAAUAAUACUAAUCAUAAUUUUGGGCCCAAAGUGAGGCCCCCUAGAUGUUGGGCCUGAGGCAUAGGCCUCAUUUGCCUAGCCCCAGGACCGGGCCUGACAACCACCACCAACAAAUCAAAUCCAAAACUGCUAGCCUCCCACAAUUGCCAUCAUCACACCACCUUACUAUCACUGUCAUCUCCACCCUAUCGUUGCCACUGCCACAACCCGCGCCGCCACCACUCCAACAAACAAAACCAAAACCAUCCUUACCUUGUCCAAUUACUUGAAAGCUA
rnacentral:lncRNA from 1 species